rnacentral:tRNA from 1 species
GGGCCCGUAGCUUAGCAGGUGGAGCGCUCGGCUGAUAACCGAGAGGUCUUGCGUUCAAAUCGCAACGGGCCCA